rnacentral:rRNA from 1 species
UACGUAGGGUGCAAGCGUUAAUCGGAAUUACUGGGCGUAAAGCGUGCGCAGGCGGCUUUGCAAGACAGAUGUGAAAUCCCCGGGCUCAACCUGGGAACUGCAUUUGUGACUGCAGGGCUGGAGUGCGGCAGAGGGGGAUGGAAUUCCGCGUGUAGCAGUGAAAUGCGUAGAUAUGCGGAGGAACACCGAUGGCGAAGGCAAUCCCCUGGGCCUGCACUGACGCUCAUGCACGAAAGCGUGGGGAGCAAACAGG